GCAUUCGUGGUGUUACUGUAGCACGUUCGGCUAGCAAUCCGGAGGUCCUGUGUUCAAAUCCCGGCGAGGGCA
rnacentral:tRNA from 1 species